GGGGCGGGCCGUAUCGCUGGUUCUGCCAAGGAUUGGAGAAGCCUGUGAAAUUCCGGCACGGUCGCGCCACUGUGACCGGGGGAAACCUCCCGGGAGUCAGACCUUCAAUCCUGGCCAUAA
rnacentral:ncRNA from 2 species